rnacentral:rRNA from 1 species
GACAGAGGGUGCAAGCGUUAAUCGGAAUUACUGGGCGUAAAGCGCUCGUAGGUGGUUGAAUCAGCUGGAUGUAAAAGCCCCGGGCUUAACCUGGGAAUGCCAUUCAGGACUGUUUAACUAGAGUUGGGUAGAGGUAAGUGGAAUUUCCGGUGUAGCGGUGAAAUGCGUAGAUAUCGGAAGGAACACCAGUGGCGAAGGCGGCUUACUGGACCCAAACUGACACUGAGGAGCGAAAGCGUGGGUAGCAAACAGG